AACGAACGCUGGCGGCAUGCCUAACACAUGCAAGUCGAACGAGACCUUCGGGUCUAGUGGCGCACGGGUGCGUAACGCGUGGGAACCUGCCCUUAGGUUCGGAAUAACUCCCCGAAAGGGGUGCUAAUACCGGAUAAUGUCUUCGGACCAAAGAUUUAUCGCCUUUGGAUGGGCCCGCGUUGGAUUAGCUAGUUGGUAGGGUAAAAGCCUACCAAGGCGACGAUCCAUAGCUGGUCUGAGAGGAUGAUCAGCCACACUGGGACUGAGACACGGCCCAGACUCCGACGGGAGGCAGCAGUAGGGAAUAUUGGACGAUGGGCGAAAGCCUGAUCCAGCAAUGCCGGGUGAGUGAUGAAGGGCUUAGGGUUGUAAAGCUCUUUUACCCGGGAUGAUAAUGACAGUACCGGGAGAAUAAGCUCCGGCUAACUCCGUG
rnacentral:rRNA from 1 species